AACGCUUAACGCCUCGCGGAAACCUGCGCGUGGGGCGGGCGGCAAAUGGCUGCCGGGGCCGCCCCCCGCCCCGCCCCGCGAGCUGCGUCAUGGCCGCCGCCGCCCGCGUCAUGGCCGCCAGCCGCCUGCCGCCCGGCGCGCUCACGCUCAAGCAGUUCCUGAGAAGGCAGCAGGUGCUUCAGUUAUACAGAAACAUGCUGCGGGCGGUCCGCGAGGUCCCGGCUGAAGCAGACCGCCGCUACUUGAGAGAGUGGGUGAGGGAGGAAUUCAGAAGAAACAAAGGUGCCGCAGAAGAGGAUGCAAUUAGGAUGAUGAUUGCUCAAGGCAACAGGCAACUCCAGGAACUUCAGAGAGCACUUAAGCUGGCAAAAUCAUGACCUUAAUUUUGUUGACAGCUGGACUUUCAUCCGCUGUGAGGAAGCACAGCACUUUUUCCCAAACAGCAGAGCCCUGGCACUUCAAUGCUGCAAGACAGUGAAUUCAAAAAGUGAUGGAAAUAAUAAGAUACAAGGGAAGAAACAGAGAGGAAUUGUUCAGAAGAGCUAAGGAAGAUAGUCUGGACAGGAUGUCUGGGGGAGAACUCCGACCCUAGAGAAAAACAAACCUCAGUGUGCUGCUGAAGGCGAUGAAGGCACUCUGUUCUCUCUGCAGACAGCCGCUCAGCCAUAAGCUUAUCUAAAACACGGAGCUGUGGGAAAAACAAAAUGGAGCUGAAAUGAUCAUUACAACGAAAAAAACAAAUUUUUGAACCUUUUAAGUCCAAGUAUAUUCUCUCCUGCAAUCUUCAUUUCUAGGCAUGCUGCCAACUACAAUUAGAUAUAGCUUGCAAAAAGCUGCCAUCACAGAAUUAUCUGAUGAAUAAAAAUAGCACUAAAAAUAAUUUAAAGGAUUUUGAUUAUCAGUGCAAACAGUUCAACAAAAGGGAUUUUACAAUUAUAAAACUAUCAGCUGCAGGAUUGCGUUCUGCCUUUAGUUUCCCUCUUAGGGCCUCAAGCAGUUAGAUUUAUCAUCUAAACAAGUGUCUGAAGCCACUUACACAUUAAAUGUGUUUUUCUUCCUCAAGACCCUACUUUGCAACAUUAGAUCCCUGUAGAAUGUCACAGUUCCUUGGUCUUGAAUAUUAGAUUUCAUUUUUUUUUUUUAAUAAUGCAAGAAGCAAUAAACAGUGACAAAAUAUUCCUUAAGCUUAGGAGGUGCUUCUAACAAUCAUGUGGACAAGUAAACCUCUGAGUCAUUGUCUUACUUGAUGUUGAGUCUUGCUUUCCAUUUGGCCCAGCUUAACAUUCAUCUUAUCUUGUACUGUCCCAAACUCAGCUUUUAUCUCUUCCACAGUUGCCUCCAGCUGAUUCUCCAGUUUAUUUAUCAGAGGCUCACAGCGACAUCCAUUUAUUGGUGCCUGAAACGAGUAAUACAUUCGCUUGCUGUAUCCCUCUGUCCUCUUUGUGCACUUGGAACAUUAUCACAGCUCUUUGGGGUCAGUGUUGUGCUCUUCUGUACCACACACUGUAUCUCACCCUCCUGAGAACAUCUCACAGCUCAGCAGAGGACAGAAGGAUGCCCCAACAGUGUACUGUUCGGAGACGCACAGCCUGGGAAAGGCUCUAUAUGUGGACAAAUCCUAACACACAGCACUGCUUUCACUGGGGCCACAAGUACAAACGAGGUCGGACUGCGUAUGUUGCGGCACCACGUGCCGUGCGAGGGGGCACUACAUGUAACAGGGCUGCACUUUGUGUGUCUUGAUGCCGACGUUCUGAAUCAGCCUGCCUUUGCCUUGCAUGACCGACUCCUGAAGCUCCCCUCUGAGGGGAUCUGUGCUGACCCCAUUUAAACCUCUCAGGGAGAUGGUCACAAAAGCUUCCUUCAGGUGAAGGCAGCUCAUCCCCAUAGGUUUCCUCUGUAGUCUGCAGACAAACUGGCUCCUUCAGGGGAUGAGUUAGGAGCCUAACAAGGCUGCUCUGAGUCUGUUCCUGAAGGAGCCUCCCUCUCUCCUUUGGCCAUGCAGUACUGUUUCACAGAUUAGGACUUACUCCCACGGCAGGGGAAGGUGGGUGGUUUGCACAACGCUAGAGAAAGCAUCAUAAAUAAAUGUAUUUAAGAAAUUGUUUGCUGUUCAGGGCCUGAGGGCAUCAGAGAAGACAGAUGAGCCAAAAAAAGGGAGAGGAAAGCAUCAUGUAUUUCAGGAAUUGCUAAAAAAAUAAAAAAUAUAAAUAAAAAAGGAGUCUGGCCACAUCAUUAAGCUGAUCUUUUAUGAAUAGAUAGGAUUUCUGUACAAAUCCUACCUGCUCUCUAAACCUUUCUUCCUGCUCCCUGAAUCUUUCCUACUUGGCAUUCUCCUACUGUCAGAUUCUAGGGACAGGGAUGUACUUGUUUUAGUAUCUGAAAGGUCCUCCUUCCCAAGUAUGACCACAAAACGACUGAUGAUAAUUACAGCCUUGGUUCAUCUGUGAGCUAUUCAGCUCAUUUGCCCUCUAUCAAGAAAAUCCCAUAAUGCCUGUGGCUGGAAAUUUCCCACUAUUUAUACAGUAAGAUCUUGGAAAGCAUGGCCAGUGAAGCCUUUGAGGUCUGACUUUAGUGAUCUUUAUAAUCUUUUGAA